UAGGGAAUCUUCCACAAUGGGCGCAAGCCUGAUGGAGCAACACCGCGUGAGUGAAGAAGGGUUUCGGCUCGUAAAGCUCUGUUGUUAAAGAAGAACACGUAUGAGAGUAACUGUUCAUACGUUGACGGUAUUUAACCAGAAAGUCACGGCUAACUACGUGCCAGCAGCCGCGGUAAUACGUAGGUGGCAAGCGUUAUCCGGAUUUAUUGGGCGUAAAGAGAGUGCAGGCGGUUUUCUAAGUCUGAUGUGAAAGCCUUCGGCUUAACCGGAGAAGUGCAUCGGAAACUGGAUAACUUGAGUGCAGAAGAGGGUAGUGGAACUCCAUGUGUAGCGGUGGAAUGCGUAGAUAUAUGGAAGAACACCAGUGGCGAAGGCGGCUACCUGGUCUGCAACUGACGCUGAGACUCGAAAGCAUGGGUAGCGAACAGGAUUAGAUACCCUGGUAGUCCAUGCCGUAAACGAUGGGUACUAGGUGUAGGAGGUAUCGACCCCUUCUGUGCCGGAGUUAACGCAAUAAGUACCCCGCCUGGGGAGUACGACCGCAAGGUUG
rnacentral:rRNA from 1 species